AUGACUUUCAUCACCAUCUUCAUCUGGACACUGACCUGCUGCUGUUUUAAAGAGUCCAGAGGUCAGGUGACUGUGACUCAGACUCCUGCAGUGAAAUCUGCUCAUCCAGGAAACACAGUCACUAUCAACUGUAAAACCAGCUCUAGAGUGUAUGGUGGUGCUACUCUAGCCUGGUACCAACACAAACCUGGAGAGGCUCCUAAACUCCUGAUUUAUUCUGCAAGCUACCGACAGUCUGGAGUUCCAGAUCGUUUCAGUGGCAGUGGAUCUGGGACUGACUUCACUCUGACCAUCAGUAACAUCCAGACUGAAGAUGCAGGAGAUUAUUACUGUCAGAGAGGACCUGGAACGCCUGCUGUUGUAUCACUGUGGUACACUUUUGGUGGAGGUACCAAAGUGUCAGUUGGACGUGACACCCGGCCCACCCUCACGGUCCUGCCCCCCUCCAGCGUGGAGCUGCAGCAGGGGAAAGCCACACUCAUGUGUCUGGCCAACAAGGGCUUCCCCUCAGACUGGAAGCUGAACUGGAAGGUGGAUGGUAAGAGUUGGAGUUCAGGGGUGAGCUCCAGCCCUGGGGUUUUACAGAAGGACGGUCUCUACAGCUGGAGCAGCACCCUCACCCUCCAGGAGGAGCAGUGGAGUAAGAUGUCAGUGACCUGUGAGGCCACACAGGGCUCCCAGUCUGCUGUGACCCAGACACUGAGUAAAGACCAGUGUUCUGAGUAGUGACAACACACACACACACA